rnacentral:rRNA from 1 species
AUGUUGGGCCUAAUCACUCACUUCCAGCCCCCCACUCUGAUUUCCCCCUCAAAGAAAACAAAAGCUUCAACCCUUCUCACCCCCCCCCUUGAUGACAACAACAACAACAAAAAUAUCUAUAUGCAAGAUCAAGAAAUAUCUAUAAGGAGCAUUCAGAAUGCACGUGAAUUAAUCGCUAUAACAGCUUGGUAUUUAUGGUGGGAUAGACAUAAACUGGUACACGAAGGAAAGUUUCAAGAUACAAAUCAAACUUCGAUAGGAGCUCGUGCCAUAAUGGCAAACUAUUUUAAUGCCUACUCCCCUAAGGCAACUAAUAAAAGAGGGGAUGAUGGAGCAUCCCUCCUAGGGUUUUUGGGAAGCUGA